GAUUAUGGCUCAGGAUGAACGCUGGCGGCGUGCCUAACACAUGCAAGGUCGAACGGGGUUUAUAAUAUGAAGUUUUCGGACGGAAUAUGGUAAACCUAGUGGCGGACGGGUGAGUAACGCGUGGGCAACCUGCCCCAUACAGGGGGAUAACAGCCGGAAACGGCUGCUAAAACCGCAUGAAACUGCGCUGCCGCAUGGCGGUGCAGCCAAAUAUUUAUAGGUAUGGGAUGGGCCCGCGUCUGAUUAGCUAGUUGGUAAGGUAGCGGCCUACCAAGGCGACGAUCAGUAGCCGGCUUGAGAGAGUGACCGGCCACAUUGGGACUGAGACACGGCCCAAACUCCUACGGGAGGCAGCAGUGGGGAAUAUUGCACAAUGGGGGAAACCCUGAUGCAGCCGACGCCGCGUGAGUGAAGAAGUAUUUCGGUAUGUAAAGCUCUAUCAGCAGGGAAGAUAAUGACGGUACCUGACUAAGAAGCCCCGGCUAACUACGUGCCAGCAGCAGC
rnacentral:rRNA from 1 species